rnacentral:rRNA from 1 species
GACGAACGCUGGCGGCGUGCUUAACACAUGCAAGUCGAACGGAAAGGCCCUGCUUUUGUGGGGUGCUCGAGUGGCGAACGGGUGAGUAACACGUGAGUAACCUGCCCUUGACUUUGGGAUAACUUCAGGAAACUGGGGCUAAUACCGGAUAGGAGCUCCUGCUGCAUGGUGGGGGUUGGAAAGUUUCGGCGUUUGGGGAUGGACUCGCGGCUUAUCAGCUUGUUGGGGGGGUAGUGGCUUACCAAGGCUUUGACGGGUAGCCGGCCUGAGAGGGUGACCGGCCACAUUGGGACUGAGAUGCGGCCGCGACUCCUACGCGAGGCAGCAGUGGGGAAUAUUGCACAAUGGGCGGAAGCCUGAUGCAGCAACGCCGCGUGCGGGAUGACGGCCUUCGGGUUGUAAACCGUUUUCGCCUGUGACGAAGCGUGAGUGACGGUAAUGGGUAAAGAAGCCCCGGCUAACUACGUG